UGAUCCCACAGGAUUCUCUGUGUCCAUGGCAAGGCUGAGGGACCUUUUCCUCCGUGGAAAGCCAUGUAUUACAGUGGCAUAGUGGUGAAGCUCCUCUGGAGACACCAGGUGACAGCAGGGCCCAAAAUUAGCACCUCUGAUGUUUUUCAGCUCCUUCUGAAGAGGAAAAGCCUUCACAGCUCACACCCCCUCUGUGUCCACCCUCAAGCACACAGGAAUUGGGUUUUUUACCCCACAGAAAGUGGUUGGGAAUCAUUCCAAGCCCCUCCAGGUGGUUCAAUGCCGGGCCAAACUCAACUGGACUCCAUGACCUUGGAGGGCUUUUCCAACCUUAAUGAUUCUUUAGGAUUCUGUGUGUCCAUGGCCAAGGCUGAGGGACCUUUUCCUCUGUGCAAGGGCAGAGCAGAGAAUCCCGUGUGUGGUGUGAUGUCUGGUGGCAUUGGGCACCUUCUCUGGGUGCUGUGCAUCCAGCUGGUGAUUUACAGGAUCAUCUUCCAGUGGGGAAUGUCUCUGGCUCCUCUGUGUUUUCCUGCAAUCUGUGCUCCAGUAGAUGCUCAGUCUUUCCUUACCUCAGGUGGCAGGAGUUUCUUGGAGAAACACCCCAAAUCUCCUUAAAGCUUUAAUUCCUUUUAAUCCUGCUCUCUGCAUCAGGAAUACUAGACUUAAAUCAGCCACACAGUCCAUUUAGCACAGGCAUGAAGCUGCUCUGGAGACACCAGGUGACAACUGGGCCCAAAAAUUAGCACCUCUGAUAUUUUUCAGCUCCUUCUGAAGAGGAAAAGCCUUCACAGCUCACACCCCCUCUGUGUCCACCCUCAAGCACAGAGGAACAGGUGCCUUCAUUUACUGAAAAAUGCUUUUUGUUCUAGUUGUUUUAACUUGUUUUUUGCACCACAGAAGGUGGCCAAGAAUCAUUCCAGGCCCCUCCAGGUAGUUCAGUGCCAUGGCAGACACAAGUGAAGGUUUUCCACUCAUCACCCUCUGAUCUUGAUCUACUUCUUCUUCAUUGCUCUGCAGCUCAUCUUUGAAGGGAUCCGUGGCCCUGGCAUCGAAGGGGACAUUGCCAUCGAUGACGUGUCCAUUGUGGAAGGGGAGUGCAUGAAGUCAGACCAACCGGCCAACAAUUUACGAUCAGGUGCUGUUGGGACAUUCUCACAUAUACGACUCCUCCCACUUCUCCUCCUCAUGUCUGUCUUAAGUCAUCAGAGGUGACCUUAUCCUGGCAGAGGCUACAAAAGAUUCACCAGGCACUGGCAUGAAGAAGAAAAGAGUCUUUGUAAAACGGACAUUUUAAAAACAAACUACCAAAGAUUCCUCCACUGAACUGACUCGAGAAAGUUAAAUAAGUACGUAAAUAAAUAAUUAAAAAAUGAACAGAACAAAACAAACAAACAAAAAAAAAAGGUAAUUAAGAAAGCACUGGGGACAUAAAAGGCAUCACGAGCCACGUGUGAGGAUGGGAUCUGGCCUAAGGAAGGAAGAGACCUUCAGGUGCUUUUGUGGUCAAUGAUGAAUUGAGCAUCAUCUGGUUGAACUCUCGGCGAAGAGCUAUAGAAACCCUUGUCAAAGCACAAAAAGUCAUGGCUGGUUUUGUUUCAAAUGAAUAGUUUGCUUGUUACCAUGGAAACCUAAUGGCCUGCCAAAAAAACAAAAACAAAAACAAAAACAAAAAAAAAGGAGAGAGGAAAUAAAGAACAAGAAAAAAGAGAGAGAGAAACACCUCACUGUAAACAGGGUAUGUGAAGAGCUGGCAUUCAUUUCCCCCUGCAGAAGGUUUUUUUAGUGUGGAGUUAAACAAAUGUAGGCCCUUCCUACUUUGACUGUCGCCUCCCUUAGGGAAUCACCCGGGAUCAGAGCCGGUUUCAGACGUUCCUGUUUUCAUUUCUCAUGGCUCUGCUUGAGAACUGUGUGUGCUGUCUCCUCUUUGCAUGCAUUUCCCAGCCAGGACGUGCCACCCUGGGCUUUACACGUUAUUACACGGGAUUUUUCCGGGAUUUUCGGAGUUUGCUUGCGGCCACUUCGCCCCCUCCCCUCUCCCUCCUCCCCUCCUCCCCUCCUCCCCCGACCCGAGUCAUCCGUUCCAACGAAGGGAAGAAACCAAACCACCGUCUUUUAUAAAUUGCCAUGGAAACCAAGUGCCUUCAAUGAAACAAGCCUGAGUUAAAACAAAAAAA